rnacentral:tRNA from 1 species
UUCUUGUAGUUAAGGCGUCUUUAACGGCAGCUUUUCGGGCUGCAAA